rnacentral:lncRNA from 1 species
AAGAUCACUUAGUGUACUAUGAUAACUUCGUUAUAACCUAAGAGCUUGCAUCCCUGGUCAACGGAGUACCAUUGUCAUUGUCACUAGAAAUGGUGGCACAAAGAUCUCCUAAAUUAAUUUGUAAAUUUGGAUUUGCCUCGCUUAACUUUUUCAGAACCAUAGCGAGCUUUGAAUCUACUUCUUCCUGGACAUCUUUUUUUACCUUGGCUUCAAUUUCCACUUCGAGAUUUUGCCUGAUCUGAGAUGUCAACUCCUGGAUGUAAGUGUUCGUGGCAGGAGGGGUUGGAACCUCGGCAGACUUGAUUGUUCGUCCAAUAAGCCAAGACGGGCCAUGUGUUUUACCAUUAGUGACAAGAUCAUCAAUGUUAGAACUACCUUCCCCUGUAUUCACCGCUUUUUCAAUUUUCUCCUGAAAAUAACGCCAUGAUGAGAUACUCACAUUAGAUACCAAUUAACAUGUUUUUACUGAGAUUGACUAAUUAACAAAUUAGUUACUUACAAGUCUGUAGUUCAUCACAGCAGUAUUGGACUUGUACUCGUUUUUGGAAUUUCUCUUGCGAGUUUUUAAAAAAACUUCUGCAUCUGAUGCUUCGGGCUGCCAAGUGUGAUAAUUUCAGCACACAUUCAAUUAUAAUUAUUGAAUUGAAUUCUAAAUAAGAUAAGAUAUCUUUAUUUAAAAAUAAUAAGACCGUCUAGAUCUGAUGGGAACAUAUUAUGACAAACAAAGGUAUAUAGUAUGUGUACCAGUUUCUUCCGAAUUUGGGCAAACGAUACGGGACCAGCAGUGUGUGUGUCCGUAUAGCAUUUACGAUUUUCCGUAUUUGUCACAGCCUUUUUCUACAAAAACAAGAAAGAAAAAUCACGCCAUUAUCUCACAUAAAUUCAUACCAUAUAAUGGACAAAUUUAUAUCGUAAAUUAAACACCUGUUCUUUUGGAUCUGCCC